UGGUUGUGUCCCAAAUGACAUCCUAUUUCCAUUUGAGAAAUAUUGAUGGAUGAAGUGUUUGGUGAUACAAAGCACAACCUUCCCUUUCAAAAGCCUGGCUCUGCCCUUCUUAAAACAAAACACCAAUCACAGUCCUGUCCUUCUUAAGUCAACCAUGUAACUGAAUGGAUGGUUUGAGGAUUAUGAUUGUCCCUGGGCUUUUUUGAUCAGGUUUUAACUUUAGAGGACAGAGUCAGGGAGAGGUCAGGGAGAGGUCAGAGAGAGGUCAGAGAGAGGUCAGAGAGAGAUCAGAGGAAGGCAGAGAGAGGUCAGGGAGAGGUCAGAGAGAGGUCAGGGAGAGGUCAGGGAGAGGUCAGAGGAAGGCAGAGGAGGUCAGAGAGAGGUCAGAGGAAGGCAGAGAGAGGUCAGAGGAAGGCAGAGAGAGGUCAGAGGAAGGCAGAGAGGUCACAGGAAGGCAGAGAGAGGUCAGAAAGAGGUCAGAGGAAGGCAGAGAGAGGUCAGAGGAAGGCAGAGAGAGGUCAGAGAGAGGUCAGAGGAAGGCAGAGAGAGGUCAGAGGAGAGGUCAGAGGAGAGACGUGAGGGAGGCAGAGAGAGGUCAGAGAGAGGUCAGAGAGAGGUCAGAGGAAGGCAGAGAGAGGUCAGAGAGAGGUCAGAGAGAGGUCAGAGGAAGGCAGAGAGAGGUCAGAGAGAGGUCAGAGAGAGGUCAGAGGAAGGCAGAGAGAGGUCAGAGAGAGGUCAGAGGAAGGCAGAGAGAGGUCAGAGAGAGGUCAGAGGAAGGCAGAGAGAGGUCAGAGAGAGGUCAGAGGAGGAUUGGAGUGAGAUUCUUAUGGUGUUUGGAAGAGAUUCUGGGGAGAAUUGAAAGAGAACCGGUGAUAUUCUUGUUAUUUUCAGUGUUAUAAAAAGUGAAUUUCCUCCACUAAACACUUCUAAUUCUUUAAAUGUAUUUUUUUAAUCUCUUUGCUGUUUUUAAAACUCUUCAUCCUGUCAUUUAGACUGAUUUGAUGGUGUAUUCCCCCAUGUCUCUUAUUGCUUCAAUGAAUCCCACUCCAAUACCCUACGGGCCCUCGUCAAAAAUAGUGCACUACUUUUGGAAUAGGGUGCCAACUGGAACGCACCCACUGAGCAUAGGGAUGGAGACAAAACAGCCCUUAACCAGGUGGUAACGCAGCCUAUAAAACAGCCCUUAACCAGUCGGUAACACAGCCUAUAAAACAUCCCGUAACAGGCGGUAACACAGCCUGUAAAACAUCCCGUAACCAGGCGGUAACACAGCCUGUAAAACAGCCCUUAACCAGGCGGUAACACAGCAUAUAAAACAGCACUUAACCAGGCGGUAACACAUUCUAUAAAACAGCACUUAACCAGGCGGUAGCACAGCCUAUACAACUACCGGUAACCAGGCGGUAACACAGCCUAUAAAACAGCACUUAACCAGGCGGUAACACAUUCUAUAAAACAGCCCUUAACCAGGC
rnacentral:lncRNA from 1 species